CACGACUGUAAGAUGUCACCUUUUUUUGUUUUGGUAUGACUUCAUGUCCUGCUUGUCAAAUGGCUGCAGUCAGCAGACUGUAAAAGUGCCUCCAUUCUUCACAGGGACAACAUUGGCAGUGGGCAGAUACCCGUCUUCCCUGAAUUCCUGUGCUUUUUGAAAUAGCUGCCAAAAGACAUUUUUUCUUUUUGCUCCCUCCCUUGCAUCAUCACCUGAUCCAGUUUCUGCAGCCAUCGGGUGGCUGAAGCAGGUCUGUGUCAUCAGACUUCAGCACCAGGACAUCAGAUUUCAGCACCAGAACAUCAGAGUUGAACAAGGCCAGCACAGGUUUUAAGUAAGAAACUGUAACAAGUUGCUCACCUGAAAGAGCAUCUGUGAACUCCAGAAGAGGGCCUAGUGCUUUACUUCCUGCUUCCAGCACCUCAACAUCUUGCCAUGUUGGGACAAGAUGCCUGUGCUUUUUGUCUGCAGUCAAAAGACGACGAAUGGCUUUUUCUUGUUCA